ensembl:lncRNA
CUUUGACUGGAGUGGACUUAAGAAAGCAUGGAAAAGACUGGAGAAAUGAGUAUAGAGAACUCUUCCAAAGAAUACUGCUGUAAAGUUCUCUGAAGUUUUAAAAAGUGAUGACUUCCUACACACCGAUGCCUUGGCAUAAUACCCCAAUGCCUGCAGCUCCUGUGCCAUUGUUAUCACUCUGUUUUGUUGGGCUCCACACUCGAAGCUCUCCAAGGAUCCGUGACUGAGUUGAAUGAAACCUUUUGCUAGUUGGCAGGAGUGAGAAUGGAUAAAACAGAAUCAGGGAAUUUUCUCUCAUUGAUGAAGAACAUUCCCACUGAGCCUUGAGCAUCAGCUGAAACCAACCUUCAGUGAGAAGCCAACAAGUAAAAGCCAACAAGUAGAAGCCAACAAAUAAGAGAUCAUGAGCCCUCUGCUUCCAGUUGCUGCUUGCUGUUCUCGGACACUCUGAAGUGCUAUUUCACUCUGAACAAAGAUCUAAAAUUGAGGG